rnacentral:rRNA from 1 species
GAUGAACGCUGGCGGCGUGCUUAACACAUGCAAGUCGAACGGAAAGGCCCUGCUUUUGUGGGGUGCUCGAGUGGCGAACGCGUGAGUAACACGUGAGUAACCUGCCCUUGACUGUGGGAUAACUUCAGGAAACUGGGGCUAAUACCGGAUAGGAGCUCCUGCUGCAUGGUGGGGGUUGGAAAGUUUCGGCGGUUGGGGAUGGACUCGCGGCUUAUCAGCUUGUUGGUGGGGUAGUGGCUUUCCAAGGCUUUGAAGGGUAGCCGGCCUGAGAGGGUGACCGGCCACAUGGGGACUGAGAUACGGCCCAGACUCCUACGGGAGGCAGCAGUGGGGAAUAUUGCACAAUGGGCGGAAGCCUGAUGCAGCAACGCCGCGUGCGGGAUGACGGCCUUCGGGUUGUAAACCGCUUUCGCCUGUGACGAAGCGUGAGUGACGGUAAUGGGUAAAGAAGCACCGGCUAACUACGUG